GCCAUAGCUCCCUUCCUCAUCAUCACCAUAGCUAGGCUUCCUGUAACUUCCUUCUUCCUGUUCCUCGGACCUUCCAUAGCUUGGCUUCCUGUAACCUUCUUCCUCCUGUUCCUCAGAUCUUCCAUAGCUGGGCCUUAUGUAACUCUCUACCUGCUCCUCAGACCUUCCAUAGCUAGGCUUCCUGUAACUUCCUUCCUCCUGCUCCUCAGAUCUUCCAUAGCUAGGCUUCCUGUAACCUUCUUCUUCUUCCUCAGAUCUUCCAUAACUAGGCUUCCUGUAACCUUCUUCCUCCUCAGAUCUUCCAUAGCUAGGCUUCCUGUAACCUUCUUCUUCUUCCUCAGAUCGUCCAUAACUCGGCUUCCUGUAACCUUCUUCCUCCUGUUCCUCAGAUCUUCCAUAGCUAGGCUUAAUGUAACUUUCAACCUGCUCCUCAGAUCUUCCAUAGCUAGGCUUCCUGUAACCUUCUUCUUGUUCCUCAGAUCUUCCAUAGCUAGGCUUACGCUCAUACUCGCUCCUCUCUUCACCGAAACUCGGUUUCUUUUCAUACCCGGAUCCAUACCCGGUCUCAGAUCCCCCACCAUACCCAGAUUCAGGUCUCCGACCAUACUCAACCUCGGUUCGUCCACCAGAUCCAUACUCCGAUUCAGCCUCCGUUCGACCACCAUAGCCAGAUCCGUAACCCUGCUCAGGUCUCCGACCAUACUCCGUCUCCGUUUCCCCACCGUAUCCCGACUCAGGUCUCCUACCGUAUUCGGUCUCCGUCUGACCACCGUACCCGGAUCCGUACUCCGAUUCCGGUUUCCGGCCAUAACCGGAUUCAGAUCCGUAACCAGGGUUAGGUCUUUCGCCUUGCACGUGACCGCCUCCGGCCGAAUCGGGUCGAAAU
rnacentral:lncRNA from 1 species